rnacentral:rRNA from 1 species
ACGAACGCUGGCGGCGUGCCUAAUACAUGCAAGUAGAACGCACAGUUUAUACCGUAGCUUGCUACACCCUAGACUGUGAGUUGCGAACGGGUGAGUAACGCGUAGGUAACCUGCCUGGUAGCGGGGGAUAACUAUUGGAAACGAUAGCUAAUACCGCAUAAUAUUGAUUAUUGCAUGAUAAUUGAUUGAAAGAUGCUAUUGCAUCACUACCAGAUGGACCUGCGUUGUAUUAGCUAGUAGGUGAGGUAACGGCUCACCUAGGCGACGAUACAUAGCCGACCUGAGAGGGUGAUCGGCCACACUGGGACUGAGACACGGCCCAGACUCCUACGGGAGGCAGCAGUAGGGAAUCUUCGGCAAUGGACGAAAGUCUGACCGAGCAACGCCGCGUGAGUGAAGAAGGUUUUCGGAUCGUAAAGCUCUGUUGUAAGAGAAGAACGGGUGUGAGAGUGGAAAGUUCACACUGUGACGGUAUCUUACCAGAAAGGGACGGCUAACUACGUG